rnacentral:lncRNA from 1 species
GUUUGUGACCGGGAUGCAGCCUUCUCUUCUGUAUCAUCCAUUCACCCUCCCUGGGCUUCCCUGGAAUGGUCAACGGAAGUUCCACAUAUGGCCUGCCACAAUCUGUUAUGAGAAUAACAGAGGAUUCAGUAGAAACAGCUCCCACACCUUAAGAAAGGGAGCCAGAGACCGAGUGGUAUCUAAUGCAAAUCUAUUCUAAGAAGGCUGUGGGGGCCAUCUGGUGUCCGAUGCAGACAGGGCCUGCUGCGAGAUGAAUUGGGAGGACAAGGGACUGGGUGAGAGCGAGUGACGGGAGGUGAGAGGCUGACUCCUUUUUAUCCAUGUCAAAACACAGCCCAUCAGGAGGAUAAGAAGAGAAAUCACCUUAUGUUGUGGGAAGCAGAUCAAAGCAGAAAAGAUAACGUCUCCAAAAGAAAAGGGGGAACAGAAAGCCGUGUUGUUGAACAAAGACGGGAGAGAAACAGGCUUGGGUCACUGGAUACCAAGCUGGACUCAAUGGCUGUCUGGGUGGCCUCCUUCAAAGAAAAGGCAAAUCCUUCCACCAGUUGUUCCGGCUUCAGACACGCAUAGACACUAACCCUUCCCGCGCGGCAUCUCUCUGGGUUUUUUGUUUCCUGAAAAAUAUAGUCCCUAUCACUGGCUUUCUAUGCAGAGCUAAAAUAAUUCAUCAAAUAUUUGGAAUGUGUAAUUAAA